AGGAUGAACGCUGGCGGCGUGCUUAACACAUGCAAGUCGAACGAUGAAGCCGGAGCUUGCUCUGGUGGAUUAGUGGCGAACGGGUGAGUAACACGUGAGUAACCUGCCCUUGACUCUGGGAUAAGCACUGGAAAUGGUGUCUAAUACCGGAUACGAGCUUUAGCCGCAUGGCUAGGAGCUAGGAAAGAACUUUC
rnacentral:rRNA from 1 species